GCGCCAUUAGCUCAAUUGGAUAGAGUAACGCACUACGAAUGCGGAGGUUUGGGGUUCGAGUCCCUAAUGGCGCGCCA
rnacentral:tRNA from 1 species